UUGGCGCUCCAACUAGCAUCCAACGAAUUCUCUAAGCUCGACACCUGUCCUCUUGUGAAUCCAACAAUCCACAUUAAUUCGACCCACAUACCUCCCACAUCUAAAUGAAACCACCUGAAGAAAGAAAUUAAACUUGAUCUGUAGUUCUAAACCCUCUCGGAGUCACGCCAAGUCCCAACGAUAUCUUUUCUUCUUCGUUUCUCAAUCUUUUAUUGAUUUGUUUUUUGUUGUUGAGCAACUCUCUGUCACAUCACAUGCUUCUCUCUCUCAUUGAAACUGAAGCUCUCUUCUUCUUUGCUUGAAUGUCAGUGAUCUCUGAGACGAAAUUGAAAAAUGUUCAGAAGAGUCCCCUUUGGGAAGAGGAAAACUGUAUCCAUCCCUGUGUACCUCAAUGUCUAUGAUCUCACUCCUAUUAAUGGCUACGCUUACUGGUUCGGCCUCGGCGUUUAACACUUCAGUGUACAUGUUAAUGAAGUAGAGAAUGAGGGAAAAAGAAGCAGAGUCGAUCGAAUGAGGAAAAUAGAGGGAGAGUCCGAGAGGGUUUAGAAGGAUGGAGGAGGCAUAUGGAUUAAAUUAACGUGGAUUGUUGGAUUUUGAGGACGAGUGUUGAACUUGGAGAAUUCGUUGGACGCUAGAUGGAGCGUCAAUCUUUGUAGACAAGCCCCAUCCAAGGUUGACACGUGAUCCAUGAUAAAAUAGGUGAUGGCUCUAAUGGAGAUCAUGGGAGUAGGUAUGGUACAUUAAUUAAGUGAGCGGAGAUUGAAGUAACUAUCCAGAGUUUGUCUUGGAAAUACAAAAGCAUUUUUGGGCAAAUGAAGAGGCAAUCAACCACACAUGCAAACAACCGCAUCAAUGUGCAUUCUCCAUUAUCUUUUGUGUUUCUCAAGUAGUAACUCUUUGUAUUCCCAAGUUGGGAUUAGCAAUUAGUUUAGCUUUCCUUUUUCAAGUAGAGUAUUUUCUUUUGUAUUCUGAAAUCUGGAUUAGGAUUAUCGGUGAAUUCGUCCAUCCUUUGACUAUUGUGUUAUAGUGGAUUUUAUAUUUUAAUGAAGAUUAUCCAGGCAACUUGCUUGGAGCAAUCAA